GACGAACGCUGGCGGCGUGCUUAACACAUGCAAGUCGAACGGAAAGGCCCUGCUUUUGUGGGGUGCUCGAGUGGCGAACGGGUGAGUAACACGUGAGUAACCUGCCCUUGACUUUGGGAUAACUUCAGGAAACUGGGGCUAAUACCGGAUAGGAGCUCCUGCUGCAUGGUGGGGGUUGGAAAGUUUCGGCGGUUGGGGAUGGACUCGCGGCUUAUCAGCUUGUUGGUGGGGUAGUGGCUUACCAAGGCUUUGAAGGGUAGCCGGCCUGGGAGGGGAGCCGGCGACAAGAGUACUAAGAGACGGCCCAGACGCCUACGGUAGGCAGCAGGGGAGAAUAUUGCACAGUAGGCGGAAGCCAGAUGCAGCGGCGCCGCGUGCGGGAUGACGGCCUUCGGGUGAUAAACCGCUUUCGCCGGAGACGAGGCGUGAGUGACGGUAAUGGGUAAGGAAGCACCGGCUAACUACGUG
rnacentral:rRNA from 1 species